UACGUAGGGGGCUAGCGUUGUCCGGAAUCAUUGGGCGUAAAGCGCGUGUAGGCGGUCCGGUAAGUCCGCUGUGAAAGUCGGGGGCUCAACCCUCGGAUGCCGGUGGAUACUGUCGGGCUUGAGUACGGAAGAGGCGAGUGGAAUUCCUGGUGUAGCGGUGAAAUGCGCAGAUAUCAGGAGGAACACCGGUGGCGAAGGCGGGUCUCUGGGCCGAUACUGACGCUGAGGCACGAAGGCCAGGGGAGCAAACGGG
rnacentral:rRNA from 1 species